rnacentral:rRNA from 1 species
UACGGAGGGCGCAAGCGUUGUUCGGAAUCAUUGGGCGUAAAGCGCGUGUAGGCGGUCUGGUCAGUCGGGUGUGAAAUACCGGAGCUCAACUCCGGAACUGCAUUCGAUGCUGCCAGGCUAGAGUCCCGGAGAGGGUGGUGGGAUUCCCGGUGUGGAGGUGAAAGUCGUAGAUAUCGGGAGGAACACCAGCGGCGAAGGCGGCCACCUGGACGGUGACUGACGCUGAGACGCGAAAGCGUGGGGAGCAAACAGG